UACAGAGGGUGCGAGCGUUAAUCGGAAUUACUGGGCGUAAAGCGUGCGCAGGCGGUGAGCUGUGUCCGAUGUGAAAGCCCCGGGCUUAACCUGGGAAUGGCAUUGGAAACUGGCUCGCUAGAGUGUGGCAGAGGGGGGUGGAAUUCCGCGUGUAGCAGUGAAAUGCGUAGAGAUGCGGAGGAACACCGAUGGCGAAGGCAGCCCCCUGGGCUAACACUGACGCUCAGGCACGAAAGCGUGGGGAGCAAACAGG
rnacentral:rRNA from 1 species